AGUGAACGCUGGCGGUAGGCCUAACACAUGCAAGUCGAACGGCAGCACAGUAAGAGCUUGCUCUUACGGGUGGCGAGUGGCGGACGGGUGAGGAAUACAUCGGAAUCUACUUUUUCGUGGGGGAUAACGUAGGGAAACUUACGCUAAUACCGCAUACGACCUACGGGUGAAAGCAGGGGAUCUUCGGACCUUGCGCGAUUGAAUGAGCCGAUGUCGGAUUAGCUAGUUGGCGGGGUAAAGGCCCACCAAGGCGACGAUCCGUGGCUGGUCUGAGAGGAUGAUCAGCCACACUGGAACUGAGACACGGUCCAGACUCCUACGGGAGGCAGCAGUGGGGAAUAUUGGGCAAUGGGCGCAAGCCUGAUCCAGCCAUACCGCGUGGGUGAAGAAGGCCUUCGGGUUGUAAAGCCCUUUUGUUGGGAAAGAAAAGCAGCAGGUUAAUACCCCGCUGUUCUGACGGUACCCAAAGAAUAAGCACCGGCUAACUUCGUG
rnacentral:rRNA from 1 species